CAUGUCCUUUUGAAAAUAAUUUAAGGUCUAAUCUGCUCAAUGAUUAUUUAAAUUGCCGCGGUAUUCUGACCGUGCAAAGGUAGCAUAAUAAUUAGCUUUUUUAUUGAGAGCUGGAAUGAAUGAUUGGACGAGGGAAUAUCUGUCUCUUUUUAAUUUAUUGAAUUUAACUUUUAAGUGAAAAGGCUUAAAUAAUUAUAAAAGACGAGAAGACCCUAUAGAGUUUAAUUUUUUUGGAUUUUUUAAUUUAUUUGGUAUUUUUAUUUAAGAUUGGAAAAAAUUUGAUUGGGGUGAUUUUAGGAUUUGCUAAACUCUUAAUUUUUUUUAUCAUUGAUUUGUGAUUAUUAAUUCUGAGUAUUUCAAUUAAAAAUUAAAUUACCUUAGGGAUAACAGCGUUAUUUUACUUUAAAGUUCUUAUUGAAAGUAAAGUUUGCGACCUCGAUGUUGGAUUAAAAUGAAUUUUCGGUGUAGUAGCUGAACAAUUAAGUCUGUUCGACUUUUAAAAUUUUACAUGAUCUGAGU
rnacentral:rRNA from 1 species